GAGACUGCACUCAUGACUCACUGAGUCAUUGCAGAGAUGUAACUGUGCAACUUUGCCCCUGAAAUUCCACCUUUAUCAUUUUUCCUGUCUGAUCCAGAGUGGGUUUCGUGAACUAUGUGAUCUCCRUGGAGCGUCAGCAUUUGUGCGUGCAACCUAGAAGCCUGCCUGCGCUAAUAGACGUGACCGGCACUUGCACAUCCUGCGGAGCAGAGGAAAAGCAUUUUGAUUUUUGUGCUCAACUGGGAAACCACUUGGGCGCUUAGGAGUGGCGGUCCCAACCCGCUGCGGCCUCGGGAUGCAGCACCAAGCGGAUGGAUGGAUGGAUGGAUGGAUGGAGAAGACCUGGAGAGGCAACACCCAUGGGGGCAGGAGCACUGCUCCCAACCCCAUGGCUGCUUAGUGUUGUCCGCGUGGGCCUGUG
rnacentral:lncRNA from 1 species